GGUGAAAAGCACCCCGGAAGGGGAGUGAAAUAGAACCUGAAACCGUGUGCUUACAAGUAGUCAGAGCCCGUUAAUGGGUGAUGGCGUGCCUUUUGUAGAAUGAACCGGCGAGUUACGAUUUGAUGCAAGGUUAAGCAGUAAAUGUGGAGCCGUAGCGAAAGCGAGUCUGAAUAGGGCGUUUAGUAUUUGGUCGUAGACCCGAAACCAGGUGAUCUACCCUUGGUCAGGUUGAAGUUCAGGUAACACUGAAUGGAGGACCGAACCGACUUACGUUGAAAAGUGAGCGGAUGAACUGAGGGUAGCGGAGAAAUUCCAAUCGAACCUGGAGAUAGCUGGUUCUCUCCGAAAUAGCUUUAGGGCUAGCCUCAAGUGAUGAUUAUUGGAGGUAGAGCACUGUUUGGACGAGGGGCCCCUCUCGGGUUACCGAAUUCAGACAAACUCCGAAUGCCAAUUAAUUUAACUUGGGAGUCAGAACAUGGGUGAUAAGGUCCGUGUUCGAAAGGGAAACAGCCCAGACCACCAGCUAAGGUCCCAAAAUAUAUGUUAAGUGGAAAAGGAUGUGGCGUUGCCCAGACAACUAGGAUGUUGGCUUAGAAGCAGCCAUCAUUUAAAGAGUGCGUAAUAGCUCACUAGUCGAGUGACACUGCGCCGAAAAUGUACCGGGGCUAAACAUAUUACCGAAGCUGUGGAUUGUCCUUUGGACAAUGGUAGGAGAGCGUUCUAAGGGCGUUGAAGCAUGAUCGUAAGGACAUGUGGAGCGCUUAGAAGUGAGAAUGCCGGUGUGAGUAGCGAAAGACGGGUGAGAAUCCCGUCCACCGAUUGACUAAGGUUUCCAGAGGAAGGCUCGUCCGCUCUGGGUUAGUCGGGUCCUAAGCUGAGGCCGACAGGCGUAGGCGAUGGAUAACAGGUUGAUAUUCCUGUACCACCUAUAAUCGUUUUAAUCGAUGGGGGGACGCAGUAGGAUAGGCGAAGCGUGCGAUUGGAUUGCACGUCUAAGCAGUAAGGCUGAGUAUUAGGCAAAUCCGGUACUCGUUAAGGC
rnacentral:rRNA from 1 species